rnacentral:tRNA from 1 species
UCCCUAGUGGUCUAGUGGUUAGAACUCUGUGCUUUCACCACCUGGGGCCCAGGUUCAAUCCCUGGAUGGGGAA